CUACUACUCCCUCUGUCCGAAAAUACUUGUCAUUGAAAUGGAUGUAUCUAGAUGUAUUUUAGUUCUAGACACAUCCAUUUUGAUGACAAGUAAUUCCGGACGGAGGGAGUAUUAU
rfam:Triticum aestivum genome assembly, contig: Triticum_aestivum_CS42_TGACv1_scaffold_221625_3B